rnacentral:rRNA from 1 species
AUGUAUAUUGAUGUUAUCAAUUUGAACUCCAUUCCUACAUCUAAAAAUAUUUGGGACGUCAAAGUUCCUUUGAAAAUAAAAGUGUUUAUGUGGUUUGUCCAUAAACAAGUUAUUUUAAUUAAGGAUAAUUUGAUAAAGCGUAAUUGGACAGGACCUACUAGGUGUAGUUUCUGCGAUCGGGAUGAGACUAUCAAACACCUCUUUUUUGAUUGCCCGUUGGCCAAGGUACUUUGGCAGACAGUCUACAUUGCCUUUAAUAUCACUCCACCGAAUUCUGUUAAUGCGUUAUUUGGGACUUGGCUUAAUGGGAUUGAGUCUGGCUUAGCGAGACAUAUUCGGGUUGGAGUUUGUGCUUUGCUGUGGACUCUCUGGACUUGCAGAAAUGAUUUGGUCUUUAACAGAUUAUCAUGUAUACAUUUUUUGCAGGUCAUUUUCCGAUCUACGGCACUGAUCCGUUCGUGGUCGCUACUCACCCAGACGGCGGCCAGGAAGCAUUUGGUUACUGGGUCUUUCCGCUGGGAGAUGGUAGCUCGGGAUAUCUUCAACCGGUUUGGAUGGCGGUCAUGUAAUAGGAUAGGUAUUUAG